UUCCAGACUCCUACGGGAGGCAGCAGUGAGGAAUAUUGGUCAAUGGCCGAGAGGCUGAACCAGCCAAGUCGCGUGAGGGAAGACGGCCCUACGGGUUGUAAACCUCUUUUGUCGGGGAGCAAAGCGAGUCACGUGUGACUCAUUGAGAGUACCCGAAGAAAAAGCAUCGGCUAACUCCGUGCCAGCAGCCGCGGUAAUACGGAGGAUGCGAGCGUUAUCCGGAUUUAUUGGGUUUAAAGGGUGCGUAGGCGGAAUAUCAAGUCAGCGGUAAAAAUUCGGGGCUCAACCCCGUCGUGCCGUUGAAACUGAUGUUCUUGAGUGGGCGAGAAGUAUGCGGAAUGCGUGGUGUAGCGGUGAAAUGCAUAGAUAUCACGCAGAACUCCGAUUGCGAAGGCAGCAUACCGGCGCCCAACUGACGCUGAAGCACGAAAGCGUGGGUAUCGAACAGGAUUAGAUGCCCUUGUA
rnacentral:rRNA from 1 species